CAGUCGCCGCGGUAAUACGGAGGGGGCUAGCGUUGUUCGGAAUUACUGGGCGUAAAGCGCACGUAGGCGGCUUGGUAAGUUAGAGGUGAAAGCCCGGAGCUCAACUCCGGAAUUGCCUUUAAGACUGCCGAGCUAGUAGGUGAGAGAGGUAAGUGGAAUUCCGAGUGUAGAGGUGAAAUUCGUAGAUAUUCGGAAGAACACCAGUGGCGAAGGCGGCUUACUGGCUCAUUCUAGACGCUGAGGUGCGAAAGCGUGGGGAGCAAACAGAAUUAGAUACCCCCGUAGUCCCUGUCUCUUAUAC
rnacentral:rRNA from 1 species